AUGACUUCUGGAAAAAUUCAAAAAAUCCAUGCUAAAUAUUGUGCACAAGCGGUCACCAAGGCAAUCAAAGAAGAGAUGGGUGAUUGUCUUUUCUCUAUUCUUAUUGAUGAGUGUCGUGAUAUAUCGGUGAAAGAACAAAUGGUCGUGGUAAUCAGGUAUUUGAGCAAACAAGGAGAGACUAUUGAACGCUUUCUUGGUAUUAAGCAUGUUCCGGACACAACAUAUGCUUCUUUAAAGAAGGCAUUAUUGGAGGUUUUUGCUAAGCACGGUCUAGUUGUUGCACGACUACGAGGGAAAGGGUAUGAUGGGGCAUCUAAUAUGAGAGGAGAAUUAAAUGGCCUUCAGAAGUUAAUUCGAGAUGAGAAACCAUAUGCUUUCUAUAUCCAUUGCUUUGCCCACCAACUGCAGUUGGUAGUUGUUGUUGUUUCGAGAUGCUGCAAGGGUGUUGAGGGUUUUUUUGAAUAUGUGACCAUGAUUGCUAAUCUCAGUACUUCAUCUUGCAAGAGAAGGAUUAAUUGCUUGACAAGCAAAAAGAGGUUCUUUUGGAUAAGAUUAAGAGUGGUGAGAUGCCGACGGGAAGAGGGAAAAAUCAAGAAACAUCCUUGGUCAUACCUGGAGAUACAAGAUGGGGCUCUCAUUACACAACCUUAUCUCGCAUUGAAUCAAUGUGGGAUGCAGUCAUAG
rnacentral:rRNA from 1 species